rnacentral:rRNA from 1 species
UUCCGGUUGAUCCUGCCGGAGGCUACCGCUAUUGGAGUUCGAUUAAGCCAUGCGAGUCGCGAGUCUUAGGGACUCGGCGUACCGCUCAGUAACACGUGGGUAACCUGCCCUAUGCUGGGAGAUAACCUCGGGAAACUGAGAAUAAUACCCCAUAGUUCACUACGCCUGGAACGGUGAGUGGAUGAAAGCUCCGGCGGCAUAGGAUGGGCCUGCGGCGUAUCAGGUUGUAGGGGGUGUAACGUACCCUCUAGCCCUCUACGCGUACGGGUGUUGGGAGACAUAGCCCGGAGAUGGAUUCUGAGACACGAAUCCAGACCCUACGGGGUGCAGCAGGCGCGAAAACUUGACAAUGCGAGAAAUCGUGAUCAGGGAACUCCAAGUGGCUGGGGUAAGACCCAGUCUUUUCUUGACUCUUCAAAGGUCUUGGAAUAAGGGGUGGGUAAGGACGGUGCCAGCCGCCGCGGUAAUACCGGCGCCUCAAGUGGUAGUCGCUUUUAUUGGGCCUAAAACGUCCGUAGCCGGUCUGAUACAUUCGUGGGUAAAUCAACUAGCUCAACUAGUUGAAUUCUGCGAGGACGGUCAGACUUGGGACCGGGAGAGGUGUGGGGUACGCUCAGGGUAGGGGUAAAAUCCUGUCAUCCUAAGCGGACCACCUGUUGCGAAGGCGCCACACUAGAACGGAUCCGACGGUCAGGGACGAAGCCUAGGGGCACGAACCGGAUUAGAUACCCGGGUAGUCCUAGGUGUAAACGCUGUGGACUUGAUGUUGGGGGCGCUCCGAGCGCUUCCAGUGUCGAAGCGAAGGUGAUAAGUCCACUGCCUGGGAAGUACGGUCGCAAGGCUGAAACUUAAAGGAAUUGGCGGGGGAGCACCGCAACCUGAGGAUUGUGCGGUUUAAUUGGAUUCAACGCCGG